CCAUUCAUCAAGAACGAAUAGCUAAAUGCAGCCAACACUUAGCUAUGGGUGCUUGGUUAUCAUUUGUACAUUUCCAAGAUAUAUAUGCUUAUGCAUCGUCGUAUUUGUGGCUGCCUUUUCGAGAAAAAAUGCAAUAGUUUUUUUUUUCUUCUUUUCUUAAUUCUUACUAGGAUAACUUCGACCCUUCAUGGGACGGACACCAUCUUUGCUGGUCUGUGGUUGCUUUUUUUUGUUCUGCGUCUGGAUUGAAUAGUGAAUACUAAAAGCUUAUAUUUGUAACAUUCGAAAUUGAAUAGAUCUUCGGUCAAGCUCAACUAUCUUGGAAACAAUGCUAGCAAACACACUUGACAUAUGCAGGGAUGGAUGGAUGCCUAUGAAUAUGAAUGAAUAUAUGCUCAAGGCAUCUCAAACCAACUGAAUGCACCUACAUUCAAUACAUAAAUUCACCA
rnacentral:lncRNA from 1 species